UUGAACGCUGGCGGAAUGCUUUACACAUGCAAGUCGAGCGGCAGCGCGGGGGCAACCCUGGCGGCGAGCGGCGAACGGGUGAGUAAUACAUCGGAACGUACCCAGUUGUGGGGGAUAGCCCGGCGAAAGCCGGAUUAAUACCGCAUAAGUCCUGAGGGAGAAAGCGGGGGCUCGCAAGACCUCGCGCGAUUGGAGUGGCCGAUAUCUGAUUAGCUAGUUGGUGGGGUAAAGGCUCACCAAGGCGACGAUCAGUAGCGGGUCUGAGAGGAUGAUCCGUCACACUGGAACUGAGACACGGUCCAGACUCCUACGGGAGGCAGCAGUGGGGAAUUUUGGACAAUGGGGGCAACCCUGAUCCAGCCAUUCCGCGUGAGUGAAGAAGGCCUUCGGGUUGUAAAGCUCUUUCAGCCGGAACGAAACGGUACGCUCUAACAUAGCGUGCUAAUGACGGUACCGGCAGAAGAAGCACCGGCUAACUACGU
rnacentral:rRNA from 1 species